UCCUGAGUGGUGCAAUGGUAGCAUUCCAAACUGACACAUGGGAAAGCUAGCUGCUGAACCAUGCCCGUAAGGGAUAGAGGGGAUCCGGGUUCGAAUCCCGGCUCUAGAA